UACGUAGGGUGCAGGCGUUAAUCGGAAUUACUGGGCGUAAAGCGUGCGCAGGCGGUUUGCUAAGACAGGUGUGAAAUCCCCGGGCUUAACCUGGGAACUGCAUUUGUGACUGGCAGGCUAGAGUAUGGCAGAGGGGGGUAGAAUUCCACGUGUAGCAGUGAAAUGCGUAGAGAUGUGGAGGAAUACCGAUGGCGAAGGCAGCCCCCUGGGCCAAUACUGACGCUCAUGCACGAAAGCGUGGGGAGCAAACAGG
rnacentral:rRNA from 1 species